rnacentral:rRNA from 1 species
UCGGGAAUUUUGCUCAAUGGGCGAAAGCCUGAAGCAGCAACGCCGCGUGAGGGAUGACGGCCUUCGGGUUGUAAACCUCUUUUCUCAGGGACGAUGAUGACGGUACCUGAGGAAUAAGCCACGGCAAACUACGUGCCAGCAGCCGCGGUAAUACGUAGGUGGCAAGCGUUGUCCGGAUUUACUGGGCGUAAAGAGCGCGCAGGCGGUCGACUUAGUCGGAUGUGAAAGCCCCCGGCUCAACUGGGGAGGGUCAUUCGAUACUGGUCGACUCGAAGGCAGGAGAGGGAAGCGGAAUUCCCGGUGUAGUGGUGAAAUGCGUAGAUAUCGGGAGGAACACCAGUGGCGAAGGCGGCUUCCUGGCCUGUUCUUGACGCUGAGGCGCGAAAGCUAGGGGAGCAAACGGGAUUAGAUACCCCCGUAGUCC